GUUGAGAGGAAUGUCGUCUGGCCUGAGAUCGUACCACAGUGGUGGGUACACGUGGACGGUCUCGGACCAGGCUUCAUUCCCCUCAAC
rnacentral:pre_miRNA from 13 species